ensembl:lncRNA
AGACUCCGCACUUUACAGACUCGCACUUUACAGACUCGCACUUUACAGACUCGCACUUUACAGACUCGCACUUUACAGACUCGCACUUUACAGACUCGCACUUUACAGACUCGCACUUUACAGACUCCACACUUUACAGACUCCACACUUUACAGACUCCACACUUUACAGACUCCACACUUUACAGACUCGCACUUUACAGACUCGCACUUUACAGACUCGCACUUUACAGACUCGCACUUUACAGACUCGCACUUUACAGACUCGCACUUUACAGACUCCACACUUUACAGACUCGCACUUUACAGACUCGCACUUUACAGACUCCGCACUUUACAGACUCGCACUUUACAGACUGACUUACAACUCGCACUUUACAGACUCGCACUUUACAGACUCCACACUUUACAGACUCGCACUUUACAGACUCGCACUUUACAGACUCCACACUUUACAGACUCGCACUUUACAGACUCCACACUUUACAGACUCGCACUUUACAGACUCGCACUUUACAGACUCGCACUUUACAGACUCGCACUUUACAGACUCGCACUUUACAGACUCGCACUUUACAGACUCGCACUUUACAGACUCGCACUUUACAGACUCGCACUUUACAGACUCGCACUUUACAGACUCGCACUUUACAGACUCGCACUUUACAGACUCGCACUUUACAGACUCGCACUUUACAGACUCGCACUUUACAGACUCGCACUUUACAGACUCGCACUUACAGACUCGCAAAACCGCACUUUACAGACUCGCACUUUACAGACUCGCACUUUACAGACUCGCACUUUACAGACUCGCACUUUACAGACUCCGCACUUUACAGACUCGCACUUUACAGACUCGCACUUUACAGACUCGCACUUUACAGACUCGCACUUUACAGACUCGCACUUUACAGACUCCACACUUUACAGACUCGCACUUUACAGACUCCACUUACAACUACUUACAGACUCGCACUUUACAGACUCCACACUUUACAGACUCCACACUUUACAGACUCCACCUUUACAGACUCCACACUUUACAGACUCCACUUUACAGACUCGCACUUACAGACUCGCACUUUACAGACUCGCACUUUACAGACUCGCACUUUACAGACUCCACACUUUACAGACUCGCACUUUACAGACUCACACUUUACAGACUCCGCACUUUACAGACUCCGCACUUUACAGACUCCACACUUUACAGACUCCGCACUUUACAGACUCGCACUUUACAGACUCGCACUUUACAGACUCCGCACUUUACAGACUCCGCACUUUACAGACUCGCACUUUACAGACUCCGCACUUUACAGACUCCAAAACCACUUUACAGACUCCGCACUUUACAGACUCCGCACUUUACAGACUCGCACUUUACAGACUCGCACUUUACAGACUCCACACUUUACAGACUCCACUUUACAGAUCCACUUUACAGACUCCGCACUUUACAGACUCGCACUUUACAGACUCGCACUUUACAGAUCCACUUACAGACUCGCACUUUACAGACUCCGCACUUUACAGACUCCACACUUUACAGACUCGCACUUUACAGACUCGCACUUUACAGACUCCACUUUACAGACUCGCACUUUACAGACUCGCACUUUACAGACUCGCACUUUACAGACUCGCACUUUACAGACUCGCACUUUACAGACUCGCACUUUACAGACUCGCACUUUACAGACUCGCACUUUACAGACUCGCACUUUACAGACUCGCACUUUACAGACUCGCACUUUACAGACUCCACACUUUACAGACUCGCACUUUACAGACUCGCACUUUACAGACUCGCACUUUACAGACUCCGCACUUUACAGACUCGCACUUUACAGACUCGCACUUUACAGACUCGCACUUUACAGACUCGCACUUUACAGACUCGCACUUUACAGACUCGCACUUUACAGACUCGCACUUUACAGACUCGCACUUUACAGACUCGCACUUUACAGACUCGCACUUUACAGACUCGCACUUUACAGACUCGCACUUUACAGACUCGCACACUUUACAGACUCGCACUUUACAGACUCGCCACACUUUACAGACUCGCACUUUACAGACUCGCACUUUACAGACUCGCACUUUACAGACUCGCACUUUACAGACUCCACACUUUACAGACUCCACACUUUACAGACUCGCACUUUACAGACUCGCACUUUACAGACUCGCACUUUACAGACUCGCACUUUACAGACUCGCACUUUACAGACUCGCACUUUACAGACUCCGCACUUUACAGACUCCACACUUUACAGACUCGCACUUUACAGACUCCACACUUUACAGACUCGCACUUUACAGACUCGCACUUUACAGACUCGCACUUUACAGACUCGCACUUUACAGACUCGCACUUUACAGACUCGCACUUUACAGACUCGCACUUUACAGACUCGCACUUUACAGACUCGCACUUUACAGACUCGCACUUUACAGACUCGCACUUUACAGACUCGCACUUUACAGACUCGCACUUUACAGACUCGCACUUUACAGACUCGCACUUUACAGACUCGCACUUUACAGACUCGCACUUUACAGACUCACCGCCACUUUACAGACUCCGCACUUUACAGACUCCGCACUUUACAGACUCCGCACUUUACAGACUCGCACUUUACAGACUCCGCACUUUACAGACUCGCACUUUACAGACUCCACACUUUACAGACUCCACACUUUACAGACUCCACACUUUACAGACUCCACACUUUACAGACUCGCACUUUACAGACUCGCACUUUACAGACUCGCACUUUACAGACUCGCACUUUACAGACUCGCACUUUACAGACUCGCACUUUACAGACUCGCACUUUACAGACUCGCACUUUACAGACUCCACUUUACAGACUCGCACUUUACAGACUCGCACUUUACAGACUCGCACUUUACAGACUCCGCACUUUACAGACUCCGCACUUUACAGACUCCGCACUUUACAGACUCGCACUUUACAGACUCGCACUUUACAGACUCGCACUUUACAGACUCGCACUUUACAGACUCGCACUUUACAGACUCGCACUUUACAGACUCGCACUUUACAGACUCGCACUUUACAGACUCCACACUUUACAGACUCCACACUUUACAGACUCCACACUUUACAGACUCGCACUUUACAGACUCGCACUUUACAGACUCGCACUUUACAGACUCGCACUUUACAGACUCGCACUUUACAGACUCGCACUUUACAGACUCGCACUUUACAGACUCGCACUUUACAGACUCGCACUUUACAGACUCGCACUUUACAGACUCGCACUUUACAGACUCCGCACUUUACAGACUCCGCACUUUACAGACGCACUUACAGACUCCGCACUUUACAGACUCCGCACUUUACAGACUCCGCACUUUACAGACUCCGCACUUUACAGACUCCGCACUUUACAGACUCACACUUUACAGACUCCGCACUUUACAGACUCCGCACUUUACAGACUCCGCACUUACAGACUCACACUUACAGACUCACACUUUACAGACUCCGCAUUUACAGACUCCGCACUUUACAGACUCCGCACUUUACAGACUCCGCACUUUACAGACUCCGCACUUUACAGACUCCGCACUUUACAGACUCCGCACUUUACAGACUCCGCACUUUACAGACUCCGCACUUUACAGACUCCGCACUUUACAGACUCCGCACUUUACAGACUCCGCACUUUACAGACUCCGCACUUUACAGACUCCGCACUUUACAGACUCCGCACUUUACAGACUCCGCACUUUACAGACUCCGCACUUUACAGACUCCGCACUUUACAGACUCCGCACUUUACAGACUCCGCACUUUACAGACUCCGCACUUACAGACUCCGCACUUUACAGACCCGCACUUUACAGACUCGCACUUUACAGACUCCACACUUUACAGACUCCGCACUUUACAGACUCCGCACUUUACAGACUCCGCACUUUACAGACUCCGACUCCCACAGGGAUUUUUACAGACCUAAUUCCUGACAGAUCUAAUGAGCUUUGAACCCAC